rnacentral:rRNA from 1 species
GCGAGCCGCGAGGUGGAGCAAAUCCCAAAAAUAACGUCUCAGUUCGGAUUGUAGUCUGCAACUCGACUACAUGAAGCUGGAAUCGCUAGUAAUCGCGAAUCAGAAUGUCGCGGUGAAUACGUUCCCGGGUCUUGUACACACCGCCCGUCACACCAUGGGAGUCAGCAACGCCCGAAGCCGGUGACCCAACCGAAAGGAGGGAGCCGUCGAAGGUGGGGCCGAUAACUGGGGUGAAGUCGUAACAAGGUACC